rnacentral:lncRNA from 1 species
GCUGGUGCCAGCUUUUCUCAAUGGCUCAGUCCAGCAGGUCUCAGCUGACCCAGAGGACUCCGGGUCCCCAGGACCCGUUUCUCCAUGAAAGAGGCAGACGGUGAUGGGCUCAAGACAAGGAGCAGGGACCCAGGCAGGGAGCUUCCCUAAAGGGCAGGGAGUCAGACUCCGUCAAGUUUCCACUCCUUCCAUACUGACAGCUUGGGCGGGAGACCCUCUGCGCCGGCGGGUUCUGCCUCCGUGGGUUCAACCGGGGCGGAUCGAAAAUAUUUAAAAAGUAUUGCAUCUGGCCAGCUGCAAAGGCAAACGCCCGUGUCAGCCUCCUGAACUGCUGGGAUUCCCGUUGGCGCAGGUGUUCCAGCAGCUCAGGAGGCUGAGGCAGGAGGAUCGUGAAUUCUAAGCCAGCCUCAGCAAAAGCGAGGCACUAAGCAACUCAGCGAGACCCUGUCUCUAAGUAAAAUACAAAAUAGGGCUGGGGAUGUGGCUCAGGGGUCGAGUGACCUGAGUUCAAUCCCUGGUACCAAAAAAAAAAAAAAAAAAGAAUUGCAUCUGAACUGAACAGACUUGUUACUUGUCACAAAUCCGACACCAUUUUAUGUCAGGGACUUGGCAAGCUGGGGGAGGCUCUGGAGCCAAUCUCCCAGGGAGGCAGAGCGUCACCUGUAUGACCGAGGUACUCUGCUGGAUGGGGGGGGGGAGUCCAUGGGAAACUGGGCACAGUCCUUGCCUCCAUGGAGGUCACACUCUGACAACAAACAGGACUCGACCCAAGUCCUGGCACUGCCACCUGGGAAACGGUCUUUCCAGCCUGGGUUUCUGCUGCCGAUGGGCAGGGCACCUAACCGCAGGGCUCCUGAGGCUUUGGGGUGGGGACAGGGGCUGCAGGAGAAGCCCCCACGUGAUUAGCAUGAUGCUCAGAGCCCUGAAAGCUCUUGAAAAUGGGAAGCAUUGUUGUUAUUAUGACCAGUGGCGUUAUUGGGGAGGAUCAGGUAGAUAGGAACUUGGAGUUCUUUCUACAGGUAAAUAAAUUCCCUUUGAUCCUACAGGCAAACGAGUUACCCUUACGGUUCAUAACUGGAGAGAAGGCUGAGGUGGGGCACCCAAAAUUUCAGAGAAAGAAGACCAAAUGGGCUUGGCUCACAAGAAGGUUAUGAUCAAAAAGCUGUAAGAUCUGGGCACAGUAGUGGCACGUGCCUGUCAUCCCAGCGGCUCGGGAGGCUGAGGCAGG